rfam:Oryza nivara chromosome 11, whole genome shotgun sequence.
AAAAAGAUAAACUGUGGGUUCCCGUGCCAACGUUUGACUGUCCGUCUUAUAUGAAAUUUUUUUAUAAUUAGUAUUUUCAUUGUUGUUCGAUGAUAAAACAUGAUUAAUAUUUUAUGUGUGACUUAUCUUUUUAAUUUUAUUUAUAAUUUUUUUAAAUAAGACGCACAAUCAAACGUUGAACACGGAAACUAGGGUUUGUCUUUUU